rnacentral:rRNA from 1 species
GACGAACGCUGGCGGCGUGCUUAACACAUGCAAGUCGAACGGAAAGGCCCAGCUUGCUGGGUGCUCGAGUGGCGAACGGGUGAGUAACACGUGGGUGAUCUGCCCCUAACUUCGGGAUAAGCUUGGGAAACUGGGUCUAAUACCGGAUAGGACAAUCGUUUAGUGUCGGUUGUGGAAUGUUUUUUCGGUUAGGGAUGAGCCCGCGGCCUAUCAGCUUGUUGGUGGGGUAAUGGCCUACCAAGGCGUCGACGGGUAGCCGGCCUGAGAGGGUGGACGGCCACAUUGGGACUGAGAUACGGCCCAGACUCCUACGGGAGGCAGCAGUGGGGAAUAUUGCACAAUGGGCGCAAGCCUGAUGCAGCGACGCCGCGUGGGGGAUGACGGCCUUCGGGUUGCAAACCUCUUUCGACAGGGACGAAGCUUUGGUGACGGUACCUGUAUAAGAAGCACCGGCUAACUACGUG